AUUGAACGCUGGCGGCAGGCCUAACACAUGCAAGUCGAACGAGUGGCGGACGGGUGAGUAAUGUCUGGGAAACUGCCUGAUGGAGGGGGAUAACUACUGGUAACGGUAGCUAAUACCGCACACCAUCAGAUGUGCCCAGAUGGGGUUAGCUAGUUGUGGGGGUAACGGCUCACCAAGGCGACGAUCCCUAGCUGGUCUGAGAGGAUGGCCAGCCACUCUGGAACUGAGCAACGGUCCAGACUCCAACGGGAGGCAGAGGUGGGGAAUAUUGCACAAUGGGAGCAAGCCUGAUGCGGCCAUGCCGCGUAGAUGAAGAAGGCUUUCGGGCUGUAAAGUACUUUCAGCGGGGAGGCGUUACCAGCAGAAGAAGCACCGGCUAACUCCGUGCCAGCAGCCGCGGUAAUUC
rnacentral:rRNA from 1 species